CCUACGGGUGGCUGCAGUAAGGAAUAUUGGACAAUGCCCGCAAGGGUGAUCCAGCCAUGCCGCGUGCAGGAAGACGGCCCUAUGGGUUGUAAACUGCUUUUAUACCGGAGAAAACCUCCCCUCGUGAGGGGAGCUGAUAGUAUGGUAAGAAUAAGCAUCGGCUAACUUCGUGCCAGCAGCCGCGGUAAGACGAAGGAUGCAAGCGUUAUCCGGAUUCAUUGGGUUUAAAGGGAGCGUAGGCGGCCUUAUAAGUCAGUGGUGAAAUCUUUGGGCUUAACCCAAAAAUUGCCAUUGAUACUGUAGGGCUUGAGUACAGUUGCUGUGGGCGGAAUAUGACAUGUAGUGGUGAAAUACAUAGAGAUGUCAUAGAACACCGAUUGCGAAGGCAGCUCACAAAACUGUAACUGACGCUGAGGCUCGAAAGUGCGGGGAUCAAACAGGAUUAGAUACCCAAGUAGUC
rnacentral:rRNA from 1 species